ensembl:lncRNA
GGGGGGGGGCUGAGAAGCGGGAGGGGGGUAGGCUUAUUUGUGGUGAUCCAUAGGCAGGCAAAGUGAAAAUUUACGGACUGUACAGCCCCAGACAGUGGGGGAAAAUAGAAGCUGUGUAACCCCAGAGACCAGAAGGUGGACUACAGAUAAAUCUGCGAAGAGAAGUAAAAAGAUGUGUUGAAGACAGCGAGAUAAAGAGAGAACUAGUGAGCGAAGCUGUAGUCAUCCUGAUAGAUAGAGCAGCAAGAGUGAUUUAGUCUGCUCGGGAGGAUCCAAUGAGAAUUCAAGAGGGCACCGCUUCGGAAAUCCUGCUCAGAUCUUCCCUCUCUCAGUUCUUUAAGAGUUACCUGCGCUGGGAACAUUAUUAUUAGGGUUAACAGUAUUCCAUCAGUGCAUUCCACUAGGAUCUCCCUUUCUUUCCCUCGCAGCAACGGAGGGAGGCGUAGUACGGAAGCCCAACUCCACCGAGCCCCCCAGAUAAACCCCUGUGUUCACUUUAGGAUGGCCGGAUCCUCGAGGAUUGGCCUGGGGGGCUGAAGAUGCGGAGGAGGCCGGGUCUCCCGGGCGCUUUCGGGGGCGCAGGGCCGGGAGGCGUAGGCAGGGGGCUGGGGAACCGCUGCUGGAAGCGGCGGCGGCGGCGGCAGGAGCCCUCCCAGGUCCUGCUUCCUCGGCGAAUCCUGCUUCCCCGGGACUCCAGGCAAUGGGCUUCCAUCGGGAACCUCAGCUCCAAGUGCCUCACUUUAGCAGCUAGAGCUUUGGAGGUUCUGAGGAUCGUCCCUGUCCCUGGGGGCAGAGGGUGGCAGGCUGCGAGUCUCCCGCGCCCCCUCUGAUUCCUGCACUGGUAACGGAGGGAGAGUGAGUCAGAAAUGGUUUUGCUGCCGAAUGCAUUAUCUGGCCAUGUUCACAGCCCUGUACCGCACAAGCGAUCGCCUGAUCGAUCCGAAAUAAGAGGGAAAGGUAGAGUGGAAAUUGAUUUAUUGCAGAGACUGAGGCGCCAAAUGAAAGAGGGAAUAAACAUUUGCCCUGGAUAAAAAUGUUCUUGGAAAGUAGGAGCUUGUAAGGAUGAAUUUGAAGUAAAGGGGCUUGAAGAAGGCAGUGUGAAGGCUUUAAGUUUCAGAAAUAAUGUGAAUCGCGCCCCCCCACCCCCCACCCCCGGCCUUUUCUUUGCAGGGGGGGAGGGGCAGGAAAGAUGAAGUCAUAGAACCGUUUUACAAAUGUGUGCACCUUCCUUCCAAUUCUUGCACCGGAUAUAAACUUAUAAGGUCCAGAGUAGGCUUUUGCAUGUCAUGGUGAUACCUGUGAAUUCAUCCAGUCCUGGCUUUCCUGAGUCUACAGCGUCCCCAGCCUGCACAGACUCCUGCCUGGAGAAUGGGUAGGUGGAGGAGUGGGAGGAGCCAAAGAUUGACUGUGUUGACAUCAUGUGUCACUAGGUGCUCAGAAUCACAAAGCUUGCAAAUUGUGUGAACUCGGUUUUGCUGGUGUAAACUGACCACUUUGGAGGUGAAUACUUAAAGGAGACCUGCUCUAAAAGAAAUUGUUGCAAUUUUGAGUUCAAGAACAUGAUUUAUUGGUGAACUACUCAUAUUCACUUUUUCCUCCAUUGUGAUCAUUCUUUCCACUGUAAACUCCUUAUCCUCAGUUUUAAUGAUAAUGGAUUAUUUAACUGUCCCAAAAUGCAG